UACGUAGGUGACAAGCGUUGUCCGGAUUUACUGGGCGUAAAGAGCGCGCAGGCGGUCGAUCAAGUCGAGUGUGAAAGCCCCCGGCUCAACUGGGGAGGGUCAUUCGAUACUGAUCGACUCGAAGGCAGGAGAGGGUAGUGGAAUUCCCGGUGUAGCGGUGGAAUGCGCAGAUAUCGGGAGGAACACCCGUAGCGAAGGCGGUUCUCUGGGCCACUACUGACGCUGAGAAGCGAAAAACGUGGGGGAGCGAACAGG
rnacentral:rRNA from 1 species